GACGAACGCUGGCGGCGUGCCUAACACAUGCAAGUCGAGCGAUGAAGCUCCUUCGGGAGUGGAAUAGCGGCGGACGGGUGAGUAACACGUGGGUAACCUGCCUCAUAGAGGGGAAUAGCCUUCCGAAAGGGAGAUUAAUACCGCAUAACAUAACUUUAUCGCAUGGUAGAGUUAUCAAAGGAGUAAUCCGCUAUGAGAUGGACCCGAGGCGCAUUAGCUAGUUGGUGAGGUAACGGCUAACCAAGGCGACGAUGCGUAGCCGACCUGAGAGGGUGAUCGGCCACAUUGGAACUGAGACACGGUCCAGACUCCUACGGGAGGCAGCAGUGGGGAAUAUUGCGCAAUGGGGGAAACCCUGACGCAGCAACGCCGCGUGAGUGAAGAAGGCCUUAGGGUUGUAAAGCUCUGUCAUAUGGGAAGAUAAUGACGGUACCAUAAGAGGAAGCCACGGCUAACUACGUGCCAGCCGCCGCGGUAA
rnacentral:rRNA from 1 species